UACAGAGGUCCCAAGCGUUGUUCGGAUUCACUGGGCGUAAAGGGUGCGUAGGCGGUCGGGUAAGUCUGAUGUGAAAUCUCACAGCUUAACUGUGAAACUGCAUUGGAUACUAUCCGGCUCGAGGAAUGGAGGGGAGACUGGAAUACUUGGUGUAGCAGUGAAAUGCGUAGAUAUCAAGUGGAACACCAGUGGCGAAGGCGAGUCUCUGGACAUUUCCUGACGCCGAGGCACGAAAGCCAGGGGAGCAAACGGG
rnacentral:rRNA from 1 species